rnacentral:rRNA from 1 species
GACGAACGCUGGCGGCAGGCCUAACACAUGCAAGUCGAGCGGACCUUUCGUGCUUAUCGGCGGUCGUGUGAGUACCGCGUGGGAAUAUGCCCUUCUCUACGGAAUAGUUCUGUUUAACUGGGGUUAAUACCGCAUACGCUCUUUGGGGGUAAGAUCUCCUGGGGCAGGAUUAGCCCGCGUUGGUUUCGGCGGUUGGUGGGGGACUCGCGGAUGAUCAGCUCGAUGGUGGGGUAGUGGAAUAGCAAGGCUUGGCCGGGUGGCCGGCCUGAGAGGUGGACCGGCCACCGUGGGACUGAGAGACGGCCCAGACGCCUACGGGAGGCAGCAGGGGGGAAUAUGGCACAAGGGGCGGAAGCAUGAUGCAGCAACGCCGCGUGCGGGAUGACGGCCUGCGGGUUGGAAACCGCUUUCGCCUGUGACGAAGCGUGAGUGACGGUAAUGGGUAAAGAAGCACCGGCUAACUACGUG